AGAACGAACGCUGGCGGCGCGUCUAAGCAUGCAAGUCGAACGGCAAGAGGUAGCAAUACCUCCUAGAGUGGCGGACUGGUGAGUAACACGUGGGUGACAUACCCUUCAGAUGGGGAUAGCUAUUAGAAAUAGUAGAUAAUACCGAAUACGAGCACAGGGGUUAGAGAUCUGUGAGGAAAGGAGCUAAGGCUCCGCUGAAGGAAUGGCCUGCGGCCCAUUAGCUAGUUGGUGAGGUAAGAGCCCACCAAGGCGAUGAUGGGUAUCCGGCCUUAGAGGGUGAACGGACACAUUGGGACUGAGAUACGGCCCAGACUCCUACGGGAGGCAGCAGCUAAGAAUAUUCCGCAAUGGACGAAAGUCUGACGGAGCGACGCCGCGUUGGAUGAAGAAGGCCGGAAGGUUGUAAAAUCCUUUUGAAACUGAAGAAUAAGCGUUGUAGGGAAUGACAGCGUGGUGACAGUAGGUUUUGAAUAAGCAACGGCUAAUUACGUGCCAGCCGCCGC
rnacentral:rRNA from 1 species